rnacentral:rRNA from 1 species
AAGCCUGACCGAGCAACGCCGCGUGAGUGAUUAAGGCCUUCGGGUUGUAAAGCUCUGUUGUAAGGGAAGAACAUUCAGGAUAGGAAAUGAUCUUGAACUGACGGUACCUUACCAGAAAGCCACGGCUAACUACGUGCCAGCAGCCGCGGUAAUACGUAGGUGGCAAGCGUUAUCCGGAAUUAUUGGGCGUAAAGGGUGCGUAGGCGGUUUAUUAAGUCUAUGGUGAAAGUGCGGGGCUCAACCCCGUAUGGCCAUAGAAACUGGUAGACUUGAGUGCAGGAGAGGGCAAUGGAAUUCCAUGUGUAGCGGUAAAAUGCGUAGAUAUAUGGAGGAACACCAGUGGCGAAGGCGGUUGCCUGGCCUGUAACUGACGCUGAAGCACGAAAGCGUGGGGAGCAAAUAGGAUUAGAUACCCUAGUAGUCCACGCCGUAAACGAUGAAUACUAAGUGUUGGAGAAAUUCAGUGCUGCAGUUAACGCAAUAAGUAUUCCGCCUGGGGAGUAUGCACGCAAGUGUGAAACUCAAA